GUAGUUGUGGCCGAGUGGUUAAGGCGAUGGACUAAACAUCCAUUAGGGUCUCCCUGCCCAGGUUCAAAUCCUGCUAACUACA